rnacentral:lncRNA from 1 species
AUUUGUUUGCUAUUCUAUUCUCUUCUCUCAUCCAUAGGUAGAGACCCUCUUUAUUUAUAGAUGAUUCUCAUGACCCAAUGAGAGGAGGACUCUUUAUUCAAAUCUGAUUUGAAUUGAUCCAAUACUCAUGAAAGAAGGACUCCUACAUGAGAUAUAAUUGCCAUCACUUAUGACAUCCACUUUGCACCCACUCCCACACCCACUUGGGAUACCCCAAAUAAGUACCAAACUAAUUUU